GACGAACGCUGGCGGCGUGCUUAACACAUGCAAGUCGAACGGUAAGGCCCUUCGGGGUACACGAGUGGCGAACGGGUGAGUAACACGUGGGUGAUCUGCCCUGCACUUCGGGAUAAGCCUGGGAAACUGGGUCUAAUACCGGAUAGGACCACUGCCUGCAUGGGUGGUGGUGGAAAGCUUUUGCGGUGUGGGAUGGGCCCGCGGCCUAUCAGCUUGUUGGUGGGGUGAAGGCCUACCAAGGCGACGACGGGUAGCCGGCCUGGGAGGGUGACCGGCCACACUGGGACUGAGAUACGGCCCAGACUCCUACGGGAGGCAGCAGUGGGGAAUAUUGCACAAUGGGCGCAAGCCUGAUGCAGCGACGCCGCGUGAGGGAUGACGGCCUUCGGGUUGUAAACCUCUUUCAGCACCGACGAAGCGCAAGUGACGGUAGGUGCAGAAGAAGGACCGGCCAACUACGUGCCAGCAGCCGCGGUAA
rnacentral:rRNA from 1 species